rnacentral:lncRNA from 1 species
GCGCUGGGGCAGAUUUAGGGCAAAGUUAACACUUCAAAAAUAUCUCCAGUAAUUGAGUAAAUUGCUCAUCUGUCAAAUUGGCUCUUUGGCAAAUUACUCUGCUUGCACAUAUUAAUAGCCAAGCUUAGCCAACUUGAAAUAUGGAGAUUUACUGGAAAUCACAGUGAAGUGAAGAGAGAGGCAAGAGCAGAAUUGAAAUUCCCACCUGGCAGCAAAAGAGAGUUAUGCAGAGCCUAUCAGGACCCGUGUUCACACCAGCACUUAGUUUGGAGGAAGCACCUGGAGGAGAUGCAGAGUCCAGAUGUGCGCCCUCUGCCGGAAGCCUACUGCACCAGGACGUAGGCCUGGAGUGGCCCUUAACGCAUUUGGAAAUCAGUCUUCACUAAAAAAACUUCCUCCAAAAUGUUCUUUAACAGCCCUUUAAAAGCCAUUGUUUCAAAACAGUCCAAGGUGGUGAACAAUUAAUAUUUUCGAUUUACAUGAAGACUCUGGAGUAGGAAUUACCUGAGUUGGAAACUCAGUUCUACUCUAUUGGUAUCAGGUUGCAUUCUGUAUCAUCAUUAAAAUUUUCAGAAAAACUCUC